UACGGAGGGUGCAAGCGUUAAUCGGAAUUACUGGGCGUAAAGCGUGCGUAGACGGUAGCGUAAGUCGGGUGUGAAAGCCCCGGGCUCAACCUGGGAAUGGCAUUCGAGACUGCUCUGCUAGGGUGCGGAAGAGGGGAGCGGAAUUUCCGGUGUAGCGGUGAAAUGCGUAGAUAUCGGAAGGAACACCAGUGGCGAAAGCGGCUCCCUGGUCCAGCACCGACAUUCAGGCACGAAAGCGUGGGGAGCAAACAGG
rnacentral:rRNA from 1 species